rnacentral:lncRNA from 1 species
CAGCUAACAAGAUGCCAUUGUACCAUAGUUAAAUGUUUGAUCAAUAUGCUCCUCGGCUGAUCAAUGAAGGGUUGUGUCUAAUAUCACUAGGCCGACAAAAGAAGAAUGUUGGUGCAGGCGGAAAAGGUGGAUUUGCCACAUCAUUUUGUCACCUUCACGUCUAUAAAUGAAGGGCUCCUCCGGCCUAAGCCACAACCUUCUGCAGCCACAACCUUUCUUUUUCUAUUAUCUAUCCCCCUCGUAAAGAAGAUCACAAGAAGCUCAC